CCUGUCUGCGUUCUAAUGCACAAGACGCCUCUCUCUUUUUGUUGAGAGAGAACUCGCCUGACUAACGGACAGGACGGACUGCAACAAUGUCAGAGAUAUUUUGAUAAAAUUACACAGGAAAGCGGCUCCUUCGAACUUCUUAUGCCCUUGGAACUGACAAGAACUACGUAUUGGAUGAAACACGGAGCAUUGCUGUGCUGUAGCGUGCUGCUGAAUAAGUCCCUUGGAAGAGAGAGAAGGAGGCUUAUGGCACAGAGAUGAGCGAGUCAGAGAAUGAAUGCCGUCCUCCCAAACAUCCUUGCCAGAAAGUCACACAAAAAGUGCACAUGACAGACUGGAGUACCAGCAGCAGCAGCAGCAGACUUUCUUGAUUGGCAAGGGUUGUUGUGCAUUCUGGGAACUGCUGGAGGAAAAGG